rnacentral:rRNA from 1 species
UACGAAGGGGGCUAGGCGUUGCUCGGAAUUACUGGGCGUAAAGGGCGCGUAGGCGGACAGUUUAGUCAGAGGUGAAAGCCCAGGGCUCAACCUUGGAAUUGCCUUUGAUACUGGCUGUCUUGAGUUCGGGAGAGGUGAGUGGAAUGCCGAGUGUAGAGGUGAAAUUCGUAGAUAUUCGGCGGAACACCAGGUGGCGAAGGCGACUCACUGGCCCGAUACUGACGCUGAGGCGCGAAAGCGUGGGGAGCAAACAGG